rnacentral:ncRNA from 1 species
CAGCCCUUGCUGAAAAUUAGUCGUUCUGGGCUGGCUUAGUAGGUUUAUCUCGAAAAGCUGGUAGGCAAAUAUAAG